AGAGAAGAGAGAUAAAAA
rnacentral:sRNA from 1 species